CUUUCAGCAGCGCAGCAGAGAGGAGCAGAAGAAAACAGAGCGUGGCCGGAGUUUGGAGAGAUUUGUUAGCAGGAGUUUGGAGAGAUUUGUUUGAAAAAUUUAAAGACGAAGACUUCAUCUUAACCGACGCAAGAGGCAAUUUCAGAGCAGGUCCAGGAAGAGAUCGCUAUGAGUCAAACACAGAUGGAGGUUCUGACCCCUGCGCUGAGUUAGAGAUAAGGAGAACUCACUGAUGGUGAGUUAAAUUGCUUUAAUUAUGAAAUAUACAAAAACUCCUGCCUUUGUUUCAUACUUUAACUCAGUCAAAAGACAAGUAGAGUACUACUUUACUCUUAC